GGACAUAGCUCAGUGGUAGAGCACUGCAUGCAAAAGGCCCCAGAUUCAACCCCUAGUAUCUCCA